rnacentral:rRNA from 1 species
ACCGUGCUAAGGUAGCAUAAUAAUUUGCCUCUUAAUUAGAGGCUGGUAUGAAUGGAUUUACGAAAGUAUAGCUGUCUCCUAUUAAAAACUAUAAACUAAACUUCAGGUGAAGAUGCCUGAAUUUAACUAAAGGACAAAAAGACCCUGUUGAGCUUCACCUUCAAUAAAUAUAAAAUUUACUAAGGUUUAGUUGGGGCGACUAAGGAAGAAAUAAAGCUUCCUCAACAUAAAGACUAAUGUGUCAUAUUAAUGAUCCGCAAAAGCAAUCAAAAGAUAAGCUACCACAGGGAUAACAGACCAAUNCUUCUUAAGAGCUCAAAUUGACAGAAGAGCUUGGCACCUCGAUGUUGGGCUUAGGAAAUCCAUGGUUGUUUUGAAUAAAAAAAACAGGCCAACCCGGGGAAUUCCACUGUCGACCCGCGAGACAUCACAGUGUUUUUUUUUUUUGUCGCAGGGACCUGUAUACGUUUUUGGGCGGGGGGGCGCAGCUCCGCCCGGCAUAGUUUCUCUACUGUUUGUCGGGAGAGAGACACAAACGAUUAAUGUAGGCUGC